UCUGACUUGUCUCUAACGGCUGUAGCUGUAGCUUGAAGAACCUGCGUGUUCAAUUCAGGUGAUUUUGAACUGGAAUGCACUUGUUAUCCUCCAUCACAAAUUCAACCACCAGGUGGCCUUCAACGAGCAGAAUUCGGCCUUUCCUUGGGUGGCAGUUACAUCAUUGCUGUGGGCCACCUCCGGGGAAUAAGACAUUUGGAAGACAGUUAAUAAAACAAAAAAACACUACCACCGCCAAAACCCGCUACCUAUUUCUGUCCCAUUCAGGGAGAUCUUCUAAGUAAGACUACGAUAUGUAAGCGUACCAGCAUGAUUUUGUAGAAUGCUUAGAAAG
rnacentral:lncRNA from 1 species